rnacentral:rRNA from 1 species
UGGGGAAUUUUGGACAAUGGGGGAAACCCUGAUCCAGCCAUCCCGCGUGUGCGAUGAAGGCCUUCGGGUUGUAAAGCACUUUUGGCAGGAAAGAAACGUCAUGGGUUAAUACCCCGUGAAACUGACGGUACCUGCAGAAUAAGCACCGGCUAACUACGUGCCAGCAGCCGCGGUAAUACGUAGGGUGCAAGCGUUAAUCGGAAUUACUGGGCGUAAAGCGUGCGCAGGCGGUUCGGAAAGAAAGAUGUGAAAUCCCAGAGCUCAACUUUGGAACUGCAUUUUUAACGCCCGGGCUCGAGUGUGUCAGAGGGAGGUGGAAUUCCGCGUGUAGCAGUGAACUGCGUAGAUAUGCGGAGGAACACCGAUAGCGAAGGCAGCCGCCUGGGAUAACACUGACGCUCAUGCACGAAAGCGUGGGGAGCAAACAGG